rnacentral:rRNA from 1 species
CCUACGGGUGGCAGCAGUGAGGAAUAUUGGUCAAUGGCCGGAAGGCUGAACCAGCCAUGCCGCGUGAAGGACAGGGACCUAGGGGCGUUAAACUUCUUUUGUGCGGGAGCAAGAAUGGUCACGUGUGGCCAGACGAGAGUACCGUACGAAUAAGCAGCGGCUAACUCCGUGCCAGCAGCCGCGGUAAUACGGGGGAUGCAAGCGUUAUCCGGAUUUCUUGGGUUUAAAGGGUGCGUAGGCUGUGAGGUAAGUCAGCGGUGAAAUGCCCCCGCUCCACGGGGUGAAGUGCCAUUUAUACUGCCUUUCUGUACUGCGGGUGCCGUGGGUGGAAUGUGUGGUGUAGCGG